rnacentral:snoRNA from 1 species
UCACAUGAUGAUCUGUUGUGCUUAUGCACGCUGGAAAUUACCGACUGAGAUUUCAUCAAUGUCGAUAAACAAUGGCUGUUUCUGAUU